rnacentral:rRNA from 1 species
AUUGAACGCUGGCGGCAGGCCUAACACAUGCAAGUCGAGCGGAAGAAGGGAGCUUGCUCCUGGAUUCAGCGGCGGACGGGUGAGUAAUGCCUAGGAAUCUGCCUGGUAGUGUGGGAUAACGUCCGGAAACGGGCGCUAAUACCGCAUCCGAUCUGAGGUAGAAAGUGGGGGAUCUUCGGACCUCACGCUAUCAGAUGAUCCUAGGUCGGGUUAGCUAGUUGGUGGGGUAAAGGCCUACCAAGGCGACGAUCCGUAACUGGUCUGAGAGGAUGAUCAGUCACACUGGAACUGAGACACGGUCCAGCCUCCUACGGGAGGCAGCAGUGGGGAAUAUUGGACAGUGGGCGAAAGCCUGAUCCAGCCAUGCCGCGUGUGUGAAGAAGGUCUUCGGAUUGUAAAGCACUUUAAGUUGGGAGGAAGGGCAGUAAGUUAAGACCUUGCUGUUUGGACGUUACCAACAGAAUAAGCACCGGCUAACUUCGU